CCCGUGAACAUGUGGCGGCGUUAGCUGCCUAUAAAUGACAUUCGCCCGGGUGCUCCCUUCUCGAUCGGAGCAUCGAAAAUGGCGGGUGAAACAAAUCAAAUGGGCGCGGCAUUGCGCCAAGGAAGAGCUGUCACUAGCAUUUGCGACUAUCCGUAGAAGCUUGAAGGGCUUAUCGGUGUGUUGCUGUUGCUUCUGAAUUAUAUUGUACGACUCUCGGCAAUGGAUAUCUUGGCUCUUGCAUCGAUGAAGAGCGCAGCGAAAUGCGAUACGUGGUGUGAAUUGCAGAAUCCCGUGAACCAUCGAGUUUUUGAACGCAAGUUGCGCCCGAGGCCAAUUGGCUGAGGGCACGUCCGCCUGGGCGUCAAGCAUUACAUCGCUUCGUUCGGCGCCGCCUCGUGCGUGGGGUGAUUGUGCCGGGUUGAACGUGGAGGUUGGCCCCUCGCGCAUACGUUUGUGCGGCGGGUUGAAGCGCGGAUGGCUUUCCUCUUGGCAGAUGAUUGAUAAAGGGGUGGUUGGAUGCUGCCAGUUGGCCCACGCUGUCAUAUCAUCGGCCUUGAGGAUGCCAUGCACACACAUCAGUAAUAGGUCGUCUAGCAAAUAUGUUGCAGGCGGCACAUCGAAAUG
rnacentral:misc_RNA from 1 species